GGAAUAUUGGACAAUGGGCGCAAGCCUGAUCCAGCCAUGCCGCGUGAGUGAAGAAGGCCUUAGGGUUGUAAAUCUCUUUCGGCGGGGAAGAUAAUGACGGUACCCGCAGAAGAAGCCCCGGCUAACCCCGUGCCAGCAGCCGCGGUAAUACGGAGGGGGCUAGCGUUGUUCGGAAUUACUGGGCGUAAAGGGCACGUAGGCUGGCUGUUAAGUCGGGGGUGAAAUCCCGGGGCUCAACCCCGGAACUGCCUUCGAUACUGGCAGCCUGGAGUCCGAGAGAGGUGAGUGGAAUUCCGAGUGUAGAGGUGAAAUUCGUAGAUAUUCGGAGGAACACCAGUGGCGAAGGCGGCUCACUGGCUCGGUACUGACGCUGAGGUGCGAAAGCGUGGGGAGCAAAC
rnacentral:rRNA from 1 species